UUCUUCCCCAGUAGUGAAAGGGACAUGAAAUGUUGCACACCAGACAGUCCUCCGGAGGGUCCCCGGGAAAAUCUCACCAGUAGCUGCUGAGAUCCUCCUGAAGAGUGUCUCGUCGCAAGCCGCUGACCACAGCACCAUCCUGGUCUCUCCUGGCUGGCUUGCCAAACUUUGUUCCUGGACCAAACUGAGGGUCGGGCUGCUAUUUCUUGUGGCCCAAUAACCACAUGCAGAUGAACUGGGGAGGAAGAGAGUUUUUAUUUCAGUAACCAGUUACAGGGAGAAGGCCGGGAAAUUAUCGCCAGACCAACUCAAAAUUACAAAGUUUCCCAGCACUUAAAUACCUUCUAAGCUAUAUGUCUACGUAUAAAUGUGCAUUCAUCUAAAGACGGUCUUCACAGGAGCCCAGGAAAAGCUGGUGUCAGAGAAAGACCCCAGGCAAUCAGAGCCACACCCUUCCCAGAGGUGCCAGGAUCCUCCUACACCCAGGUUGUGCUAGGGCCAGUUCUCCUAACAAGAAGAGAAAGCCUCGGACCCCAAAGACAGCCUUUGUGCAGGACGGAACCACCCACCCAGGUCGGCCCAUUGCAGAAGGAGGCAGCCAGAGCCCAGUGAGGAGGGGAGGCCACCAGGCCAGGGAGCAAGCGUCUCCCAGAGGUGUCGCUUUCCCUCAAGAUCCAAUUAUCCAUGACAUUUCAGGAAGGUAUAUCCAUCACCUAGGAGGUUCCUCUGGGCGACCACUGGCUACCUUCGGCCACAAACCUUUCUGGUUAAAAACAUGAGGAAGUUUAAAAAAUGCAUGACACUUUUCAACUUUUAAAAUUGCUAACUAUGAAGUUCUAAUGUUUGGAGACCUUUAUGAUGACCCAACUCCACCUAAUGAAUAGCGAAUAUGUUUUCUCCUCCCUAUGACUUUUUUAAUAACCUGUUCUUUAC
rnacentral:lncRNA from 1 species